UACGGUAGGGUGCAAGCGUUGUCCGGAAUUAUUGGGCGUAAAGAGCACGCAGGCGGUUGGCAAGUCGGAUGUGAAAACCCGAAGCUCAACUUCGGGCGUGCAUCCGAAACUGCCCGACUAGAGGUAGGUAGGGGAGACGGAAUUCCUGGUGUAGCGGUGAAUGCGCAGAUAAUCAGGAGGAACACCGGUGGCGAAGGCGGAUCUCUGG
rnacentral:rRNA from 1 species